GAUACAUGGCCAUUUGACAUACCCGUGUUAAGUUCAAUCUUGCUACAAAAGAAGGCCAUUUGUACUUCCUGACCCUGAAAGCAAGAACUGUGUCUCUUUAAAUCUACUGAGGAAGAUAUUCCUUCUGGCCCACAGGAUGCCAAAAUGACUCGAUGAUUUAUUUAUGCAGCGCUUGGCAGCCCAUCGUCCAGAUUGUGGCUGAAGCUGAAUUUUAUGAGCCUUCCCCCGAAAAACUGGAAGAUUUUGCCAUCUUACAAGCCCUCUUCCUUAAGAAAGAGAAAGAUGAGCAGUAAAUAUCCUCUGGCACGUCGGCACAUUCUGUCUCUUCGUGUUUUCAUGAAGUGUUCAUGACAUGGGAUUGAAGUACUCCUUUGUGUUCAGUAUUUGAUAUCAAAUCCUUUACAGAUCACUGGGAGAAUGGUAGAAGGAAUGAUGAGCUUUCCCUGAAGGUUCCAGCUUCUUCCUGCCACUAUUCUCUAGGGUGGGGUCACCUUCAUCUGGUUCCAGGAUGCAGCAUGCCCAGGUCUAAGAAGUCACCCCUUUUGUUACAGUCACUAGACUUUAUCAGGGUCUUGUCAAUCUCUCUGGCGAUUUGCAUGAUUCCCAGGUACUCAAGAACAGUUAGGAAGCAAUGUUCUUUAUGGGAAAAUAUUUUCAAAUUGUCAUAUGAAGACUCAACAAAAAGAAAAACAGAGAAGAAGGAGGAAAAGAAGAAGAAAGAAGAAUAAAAAGAAAGAGAUAAAGAAAUAAACAAACAAAAUAAAAAGGCUCUCCUGUACUUCUUUUUCAGGGUGAGAAAGCUUGGUGUUCAGGACAAUGGAUGCCAAAUAGAACAGGGCCAUCGCUCUACAGUCAAUGUAGAAAAUUGGAGCAUCACAGUGUCAGAUCAUUCCCACGCUAUCAAACCAAAUAUGACCAGGCAAGAAACAGAACGGAAAUGGAGAGGAGAGCCCAGCAUGACUUGCGCCGUGCCAAAGGAAUACGUGUGAGUUGGCUUCGUGUCAUCGUAACAAAACCCUGAGAGAAAUAUCUUGAAAGAGCCAGGUUGGUCCAGACCUGCUGGCAAGCCUGCAGCCCCAUCCACCGAUUACCUAAUACACUUGUGACAUCUGCUUUCCUUGUUGUGAGAAAACACAGGGAGGAAGUGGGUGCAGAAGGGGUGAUGCCUGACCUACACACCCGGCAAUACCAGAAGUUUCACUACCUUCCGUUGGUAAACGCUUCAGGGAAGGCUCUGCAACCCUGAACGUGUUUUAUUGUAGAACCUCACUAGGAAACUCAUCAGUAUUUAUUAAAGAUGAAUUAAAAGAAGGAGGAAAAGGAAAAACGGGAUAGUGAAGAGAAUAGAUGAAUGAAAAAGAAGCAAAGGGAAGAGAGGAGGAAGGGACAAAGAGGGCAAGAAAAGAGAAAAGAGAGAUGAGAGACCAGGACUUCCCACCUAACCUUACCAAACUUUUUCAGUUGAGCUUUUAAUGGGAUACUAUUCCCAAGAGGAAAUUCAAAAAGAAAACCACCUUGAAACAUCCUUGCUUUUAAUUGUACUCUUUCAACUGCCAGGAAAUUAAUUAGGAGUCUAUGCCAUGUACUCCAGCCCUGCAUAGAAUGAGUUCUGGAGUUCACCUGGAGCCCACGGAGAGUGGAUGUGGAACUUUUCUGUAGAACAUAGGAGCCGUCUGUACCGGCACAGCUUCAGCCAGCAAUAAGCAUUACCAGCUCCUGCCAGAGGAGCAAGA
rnacentral:sRNA from 1 species